AAACCUUUCAGUUUCAGCUUUAGGUAGAGCUAAAGAAGGCUGAUCAUGAGGGUCCUUGGUAUAUUCCUUCUGCUCUUCAUGGCUCCAUGCUGCUUCUUGGAUACUAUUCGAGUUGAAAGAUCAUUAUCUUUCACACAAGCAAGAGAGCCUAAAUGUAAUCCCUUCACUAUUGGAUGCACAAAACAGUACGCUCCUGUCUGUGGUACUGAUGGACGUACCUAUUCCAGUGAAUGCGUUCUGUGUAAGGAAAAUGUGAAAGACAUCAGUCAAAAACGAUGUUGUUUGAAGGGUCUGGCAAUGUUUAACCCAGGGAACAGAAUAUUUAAAGAGAAGAGAUUAAUCUCUGCUGUCAAUAUCAGAAGAGCUUCUGAGGUGCAGAAGAUAUUCCAGAAACAGAAGCAAUGAGUAAAAGUUGUCAAGAAACUGAUAUUGGAUCCAAAUUAAAAACUUCUGAUUAAAAACAUCUGACCAUCAGUGAAAUAGAUGAUGUUCUAAGCUCCCUUCCAAACUUUACAUUUUCUAUGGUAAGAUUCCUUUCUCCUCUAAUGUUCUAUCUUGUCCUUGUUCUGCUGAUGACUUUCUAGGCAGAGGUUUUUUGUUUGUUUGUUUGUUUGUUUGUUUGUUUUUAUCCCUUCGCACUGUAGAUUUGUCUUAAAUGAAAGUGAUUCACAUUGCUUUAUCUUUUCACUUCUCUUCCAGGAAAAGAGAGACACACGUCCUCAUCGAAAAAGUUGGGCAAUGCUGAGGAAACAAAAAAAUUCUGGAACUUCCAGGGGUGGUAUGAUGGCUAGCCAGCUUGAGUUUCUAAUAAAUGCAUGAGAACGAUUGCUGCUCUUUAGUGA
rnacentral:lncRNA from 1 species